UCCAAGGAGCCAAGUUUGGGCUCAAUAACUCUUCUGCACCUUUCUUUCCAGGAGACAUAGGAAGAUGUGUGCCAGCAAUUCAUUCUGGGGGAAAAUUGGUUUCAGAGUCAAUAGAUGAGAGGAAAUCUCAUAGAACAAGGGAAAAGGAGCCCUGAUUAAUAUUUUCCAUAACCAGCAAAUCUUGGGGCAAAGAAAUCUACCUUUGUUCAGAGGGGCCCAGUCUCUGCCAUAUGACUCCACUUCUGGAGUUCUUAGAGAGGCUCCUCUAGACUCUGCCUCAGCCCUCACUCUCCUUCACCACAUUCAUCCAACUCAUCACAUCCUUCUGUAUGUCCUCCAGUCAUCUGCUCCUCUUUAUCCUCACUGCACUGCUUUGGCUGAAGCCUGGAGUAAUGCAAGGACCUUAUCUGUGAUCCCCCUGUUCCCAUUAUGAACCUCCCAAACCUCCAGGAUGUAGUUUACAGUCUGGCGUUCGAGGUUCUUGAAGACUCAGUCUCAGACCAUCAGCCCAGCCUUCUUUGCCAUCACCCUCUCCCACCUUUUACCAGCCUUUGAGAAAUAUUGAAUUUCUUGUACUUUCCACCCCAUGAAAUGCUGUCUCCUGCUUCCUGGCCUUUGGACUUGCUUAGAGAAUCCCAUCCCAACCCAUCCAUGUGGCAAGUUCAAUUUCAAAAGCCUGUCUUCCUGGAGCAUUCUCUCUCCCUCUCCAAAGCAGUCAUGCAUCUGUCCUAUGUCACCCUGGCACUUUAUAUUUUCCUUAACUAUAGGAGAUAUCACUCUUUAUUCGAUUCUUUUUCUGUUUACUUGCCUUACAUAUCAUAUCGCUAGCACCUCUCACAGUUCCUGGCAUAUUUAGGAACUCAAUAAAUGAACUGCAUGCUGUAUUUAGGAAUGAUGUGGCUUAGACAAAAGAAGUUCACCUACCACUCAUACUUUUUUGGCAUUUGCGGCACACAUGUUUAGCUGGUCUCCGCAUCCUAGAACUUUUAGACACAGCAGGUGUAUAGAAGAGAACAUUUCCCACUGGCUGCUUCUUUGUGGGAAGAAGAGGCAUAACAAAAUUCACUCACCCUUCCUUAAACAAAAGUAGAGGUGCACCUUCCCUGUUUGGGUUUAUAACACUGCAGCAUCUGAAACUCAGCUGCAAUACUGAAUUAACUGUUUUCCUUGUAUGGCUGUGGAAAAUGAAACCAAUAACUCCUCUUAAUUUCUGGGAGCCUAAAUCCCCUAGGUCUGCUGCGUUGGAAUAGGAGUGUGGUUUCUCGCCCUUCUCACAAACUGUUCCUAGACCACGUAAUUGUUUACCAAAGAAUAAACCCCUAAGUGUAGGCAAUAAUGCAGCUAUACCCUUCAAGUAAAGCAGAAGUGGCCAACACACAGAAACACAGAUCUCUUAAAGUUGAGUUUUUGUGACAAAUAGUAAACAUACAGACUUUCUUUACUGGGGGCAGGGAACACAACUCACAAUAAUCCAAGCACCUUCAUUUAUUAAUGAUUUGCCAUGUAAAUCUGUUUCCAUGAAUAAGUGACCAGAGUUGCAGCCCCAGUCCGACUGCAGACCUACAGCCACAGGUGAUGUCUGCAGACCAGUCUCCACGUGGAGCCUAGGCUUCCGGUGUCUGUGUCCAAGCUGUCCACGAUGUCAAGUAUAACUUCAGAGAGCAGGAGUACUGGCCAGGCGUGGUGGCUCAAGCCUGUAAUUCCAGCACUUUGGGAGGCCGAGGCUAGCGGAUCACAAGGUCAGGAGAUCGAGACCAUCCUGGCUAACACAGUGAAACCCCGUCUCUACUAAAAAUACAAAAAAAUUAGCUUGGCGAGGUGGCGGGCGCCUGUAGUCCCAGCUAUUUGGGAGGCUGAGGCAGGAGAAUGGCCUGAAUCUGGGAGGCGGAGCUUGCAGUGAGCCGAGAUGGCGCCACUGCACUCCAGCCUGGGCGACAGAGCAAGACUCCGUCUCAAAAAAAAAAAAAAAAAAAAAAAAAUUUCAGGAGUAAAAAUGAAAAAAAUCUGAACUCUAGAAAUAAAGGCUAAGAAAAAACUCCUUUUUGCUGGGGAGGAAUCUUUCUCUCUCUCUCUCUCAUAUUGAAGGAAAACUUAGAAGCCAUCAAGCGCCGUAUUUAGUAACCGCAGUGUUGGGUAGCAUAGUGUAGUGGCAAAAUCCUAGAUGUGAGACCUUGCUUUCAGCCUUCCCUCUGCAGUUGCUUGGUUAUGUCUCCUUGCUAACAGCCUCGACUUUGGCUUUUUAUAAAUAAGGGUUUUAUGCUCAUUUGUGAGGUCUUUUCCAGAGCUCUAAACUUCUAGGAUUCUAGAUGUAAGAACCGGUGGAGCCUUGAGAAUAAGGAACCAAGAGUCAACUUGAUUCUGUAGUACCAGCCCAAUAGCUCAUCACAAUAGCACAAUCCUGUGUAUGAGUCACCAAACUUCCAGCCAAGAUCUUCUCUCUCCCCACGGCCAAGAAGAAAGUUCAGUGCAUAGGAGUAUACAUUCAUUCUUCCUGACUCCUGAGGAUUCAUCUCCUCAACAUGAGGACCGAGGAGGUUUCUAUCUUGUGGUCACUAGAGCCCAGUGGCCGUUUUAGGAAGCACACACAUAUCUGGAUUAGAACCAUAUGACUGACCACAGCUGCCCCAAUGCAUGCGAAGGCGUCCACAUGCCAGCAUUGGAAGGAGUGCUUCAUUUUGCCCCAGGACUCCUAAAUUUUCACCUGAAGUGAUUGUUUUCAUCUAAACAUGGCUCCAUCUGAGGUUGCCUAUAUAUGAUGGACAGCCCUGGAGGACAGAAAAAGAGAACCCUUAUGUUCAUCAACAGUUAUGAAAUGCCUACUCUGUGUGGUAGGCUGAAUGGCAGUGCUUUAACUUUCUGUAAUAGUUGAUUACAAUUUUCACAGCACUUUUCACAUACAUUUCCUCAGUAAAUUCUCACACACACCCUGCAAUGCAGCCUGGGCAGGGCUGUGAGUGUAACAUCACCCCUGCCCCUUCCUUUUUUUUUUUUUUUUUUUUUUUUAACAGAAGAAGAAACUGAG